GUGCUUACUUUGACAGUAUAUAAACUAAAAUUGGAAUGAUACAGAGAAGAUUAGCAUGGCCCCUAUGCAAAGAUGGCAUGCAAAUUCAUGAAGCGUUUUAUAUUUGG
ensembl:snRNA U6 U6 spliceosomal RNA